rnacentral:lncRNA from 1 species
GGUCGGAGCUGCACGCGGCCUGCUGGCGGGUACACCCCGGCCUCAGCUGAACCACCGCCCAGAGUGUCGUACCAAGUGACCCGACAGGGCGAGCGUCUGAACGGCUGCUGGGUCCCGUGCUGUCGGGAGGAAGUGGGCGAAGGCGAAUAUGCUAGGCCAGAUUGUUGAGCAGAUAAGCUCAGGGUGGUGUUGGGAAGGCCCCUGGGAUCGGUCCCCGGGGUCCGUUGGCUGCUUCUAGAAGCAUCCGCGGUAACCAGGGAGGCUUUGAGGAAGUCCCUGCCUGAAAGCGCGAUAAGGUAUUUGCAAAUUCAUCUUCCUGGAUGAGAAUUUCUUGAAGUCGGUCAUGCGUAUAAACCAAGUGUGGUAGUGAACGCUUGUCAUCCCAGCAUUCUGCAGGCUGAGACAGGAGAAUCUUGAGGGCUUCAGAAAUUCACCAGCAUUGCUAAGAAAUCGUCUCCCCAGCCCCCAGCCUGGCAUCUCCCCGACCUCUGAAGAAGGUGAGUCAAAGAAAGACGCCCCGCCCACCCGCUAGCACUCCCUCACUUCCUCUGCACUGAGAUCCACUGCUGCCUCCAAGCCAGCUGCCCCUCUUGAGGCACACUUCCUGUAGUAAACACUCACUGGGCUUCAUUAUUUUAAGAGUUAGGUAGUAUAUUAGUCAGGGUUCUCUAGAGUCACAAAACUUAUGGGUAGUCUCUAUAUAGUAAAAGAAUUUGUUGAUGACUUAGAGUCUGCAGUCCAACUCCACAACAAGGGUCAGCAGCAGCUGUGGAUGGAAGUCUAAGAUCUAGCAGUUGCUCAGACUCACAAGGCAAGCAGGAGAGGAAGAGUCUGUCUUCCUUCUUCCAAUGUCCUUAUGUAGGUCUCCUGCAGAAGAUGUGACUCAGAUUAAAGGUGUGUAGCACCACGCCCUUAAUCCCAGAUGACCUUGAAUUUGGAGAUUCCCGUGUCUUAAUCUUCUGGAAUUCAUA